rnacentral:rRNA from 1 species
UAGGGAAUCUUCGGCAAUGGGGGCAACCCUGACCGAGCAACGCCGCGUGAGUGAAGAAGGUUUUCGGAUCGUAAAGCUCUGUUGUAAGUCAAGAACGGGUGUGAGAGUGGAAAGUUCACACUGUGACGGUAGCUUACCAGAAAGGGACGGCUAACUACGUGCCAGCAGCCGCGGUAAUACGUAGGUCCCGAGCGUUGUCCGGAUUUAUUGGGCGUAAAGCGAGCGCAGGCGGUUUGAUAAGUCUGAAGUUAAAGGCUGUGGCUCAACCAUAGUUCGCUUUGGAAACUGUCAAACUUGAGUGCAGAAGGGGAGAGUGGAAUUCCAUGUGUAGCGGUGAAAUGCGUAGAUAUAUGGAGGAACACCGGUGGCGAAAGCGGCUCUCUGGUCUGUAACUGACGCUGAGGCUCGAAAGCGUGGGGAGCGAACAGGAUUAGAUACCCUGGUAGUCCACGCCGUAAACGAUGAGUGCUAGGUGUUGGAU